rnacentral:rRNA from 1 species
CUGGUUCAGGAUGGACGCUAGCGACAGGCCUAACACAUGCAAGUCGAGGGGCAGCACAAGGAGCAAUCUGAGGUGGCGACCGGCGCACGGGUGAGUAACACGUAUGCAACCUGCCUGUAAGCGGGGAAUAACCCGUUGAAAGACGGACUAAUACCGCAUAAUACUAAAUUACUGCAUGGUAAUUUAUUUAAACAUUUAUGGCUUACAGAUGGGCAUGCGCAUGAUUAGCUAGUUGGAGAGGUAACGGCUCCCCAAGGCAACGAUCAUUAGGGGUUCUGAGAGGAAGGUCCCCCACACUGGUACUGAGACACGGACCAGACUCCUACGGGAGGCAGCAGUGAGGAAUAUUGGUCAAUGGACGAGAGUCUGAACCAGCCAAGUCGCGUGCAGGAAGAAUGUCCUAUGGAUUGUAAACUGCUUUUGCAGGGGAAUAAAGUGCAUCACGUGUGAUGUUUUGUAUGUACUCUGCGAAUAAGGAUCGGCUAACUCCGUGCCAGCCGCGGC